rnacentral:rRNA from 1 species
AAACUGGCGAACGGGUGAGUAACGCGUAGGCAACCUACCUUUUAGACUGGGAUAACACUGUGAAAAUGGUGCUAAUACUGGAUAAAAUCAUAUAUCAUAAGAUGCUAUGAUUAAAGGUGGCUUCGGCUAUUACUAUUGGAUGGGCCUGCGUCUGAUUAGCUUGUUGGUAAGGUAAAAGCUUACCAAGGCAACGAUCAGUAGCUGGUUCGAGAGGAUGAUCAGCCACACUGGGACUGAGAUACGGCCCAGACUCCUACGGGAGGCAGCAGUGGGGAAUUUUGCGCAAUGGGGGAAACCUUGACGCAGCAACGCCGCGUGAUCGAAGAAGCUCUGUGGAGUGUAAAGAUCUGUCAUAGGGGAAGAAUGGUUUUUGGUUUAACAUACCAAAGAUUUGACGGUACCCUAUAAGAAAGCCCCGGCUAACUUCGUGCCAGCAGCCGCGGUAAUACUAGGGGGGCAAGCGUUGUCCGGAUUCAUUGGGCGUAAAGAGUUCGUAGGCGGUCUGAACAGUCAAAAUUGAAAUACCACGGCUUAACCGUGGACCCGGUUUCGAUACUGCUAAUCUUGAGUGAGACAGAGGUAAGUGGAAUUUGUCAUGUAGCGGUGAAAUGCAUAGAUAUGACAUGGAACACCUAUUGCGAAAGCAGCUCACUAAACCAUUACUGACGCUCAUGGACGAAAGUGUGGGUAGCGAACAGGAUUAGAUACCCUGGUAGUCCACACCGUAAACUAUGAUCACUAGAUGUUGGCGAUAUAAUGUCAGUGUCAAAGAGAAAUCGUUAAGUGAUCCACCUGGGGAGUACGUUCGCAAGAAUGAAACUCAAAGGAAUUGACGGGGGCCCGCACAAGCGGUGGAGCAUGUGGUUUAAUUCGAUGAUACGCGAGGAACCUUACCAAGGCUUAAAUGUAAAACGACCGAUUGAGAAAUCAAUCUUUUUUCGAACGAUUUACAAGGUGCUGCAUGGUUGUCGUCAGCUCGUGCCGUGAGGUGUCGGGUUAAGUCCCAUAACGAGCGCAACCCCUAUUUUUAGUUACCAACGAGUAAUGUCGGGAACUCUAGAAAGACUGCCUGUGUAAACAGAGAGGAAGGUGGGGAUGACGUCAAAUCAUCACGGCCCUUAUGUCUUGGGCUACACACGUGCUACAAUGGUUACUACAAUGUGAUGCCAUCUGGUGACAGAGAGCUAAUCCAUAAAGGUAAUCUCAGUUCGGAUCGGAGUCUGCAACUCGACUCUGUGAAGUUGGAAUCGCUAGUAAUCGUAUAUCAGCAAUGAUACGGUGAAUACGUUCCCGGGCCUUGUACACACCGCCCGUCAAGCCAUGGAAGUUUUGAAUACUUAAAGUCAGUCACU